GACCAAUGUGAGGCAAUGGUUUGAGUGCUGGCCUAGGACUCCAGGGGACUAGGGUUCGAAUCCCCCCUUGGCCA